rnacentral:rRNA from 1 species
UUGUAGUCUGCAACUCGACUACAUGAAGCUGGAAUCGCUAGUAAUCGCGAAUCAGAAUGUCGCGGUGAAUACGUUCCCGGGUCUUGUACACACCGCCCGUCACACCAUGGGAGUCAGUAACGCCCGAAGCCGGUGACCCAACCAGUUCAGGAGGGAGCCGUCGAAGGUGGGACCGAUAACUGGGGUGAAGUCGUAACAAGGUAAC